rnacentral:rRNA from 1 species
GGGCCCGCACAAGCGGUGGAGCAUGUGGUUUAAUUCGAUGAUACGCGAGGAACCUUACCAGGGCUUAAAUGUAUUCUGACAGCUUUAGAGAUAGAGUUUUCUUCGGACAGAAUACAAGGUGCUGCAUGGUUGUCGUCAGCUCGUGCCGUGAGGUGUCAGGUUAAGUCCUAUAACGAGCGCAACCCCUAUCGUUAGUUGCCAGCGAGUAAUGUCGGGAACUCUAACGAAACUGCCAGUGCAAACUGUGAGGAAGGUGGGGAUGACGUCAAAUCAUCACGGCCCUUACGUCCUGGGCUACACACGUGCUACAAUGGCCGGUACAGAGAGCAGCCACUUCGCAAGAAGGAGCUAAUCUUUAAAACCGAUCUCAGUUCGGAUCGCAGUCUGCAACUCGACUGCGUGAAGCUGGAAUCGCUAGUAAUCGG